ACAGCUUCUCCUUCUUCUUCGCUUUCUCUGUUCUUCUCUUCUCUUCCAUUCAUCAAACUUCACAGAUCCGUCCUCUGUUUCUCUGAGGCGAUGGUCAAAACUUUGGGAAGUAUCUUUAGUUCUUUAGCCAUGGCUGGUAAUGAAACGCUCUACUUAAUCCCCAUUGAUGGUUUCUUUUCUGUUGAUUUCUUGGUCGACACGUACCAUUUGCUUUUCUUUUUGAAUUGCUUGGCUUGGUGGUGGGACCACUAGUUUCAUGUCUACGUGGAGGUCUAUGGUUUGUGGAGAGUGUAGGUGGCAAUGGUGCGUUUGUCCUGCAGCCUAAGGCAGAGGCAGGCAUUUCUUUUACUCUUAUCUUAAUUGUGACAUCAGCGUUCUAUUUGGUAGGCAAAUUCAACAGGAAGAAAAAUCAUAACCCGUUAGGGUUUUUUUCUCUGAAACCUUCGGAUCUUUAAUCGCCCUCGCGCUAGGGUUUUGCAUCGUCUCCUUCGUGGGAUUCGCCGUUCGUUUGACGGCUAUUUCGCUCAUCUCCUCAACCUCCGCCUCCCUCAAUCAUGCCUAAGCACACCGCCAUGGCAACGUCAUCGGCACUCAAUAUCAGCUGCUUCCGGAGCAGGGAUCGAACGAUGCUGGAAGGUGGAUCGAAGUAGAAGGGGACCGACAUCAGGCGGCGACUGCAACACAAGGGUCAAUAUCAACAAAUCCGAACCACCCUCCGGCUUUUGAAGUACAUGCGAGUCAGCUCGAUGUGACUCGCCCAACCAUGUAAAAGGGUGGACCACCGAUCCAUCCACCGCGACGAAGAAGUGACCGGCUACCCCCUCCGCCCACGUUCGUGAUAUUCGUUGAUGUUUCCUCUGCUUUUAAUUUUCACAAACGUUAGUCUUUCAUUCUUGUUUUCAUAGUGGCAGGUGUAUUUUAUAUGUUUAGUAUAGCCGUCUCGAGUUUAGAGUUGAUCAUGAUUACGAAACUGCUCGAGUUUAGAGUUGAUCACGGUAACGAAACUGAAGAUGCAAAGUAUUUUAAUUAUUUUAAUAUUAUAUUUCUUUUGUGAUUUUAUAAAAAGCGCCUUCCAAUCAUAUAGGAUGUAAUAACCAAUUAGUACAUUAUGAAUGAG
rnacentral:lncRNA from 1 species